rnacentral:rRNA from 1 species
GGGGGGGGGGGGCGUGCUACCAUGCAAGUCGAACGAUGAUCAGGAGCUUGCUCCUGUGAUUAGUGGCGAACGGGUGAGUAACACGUGAGUAACCUGCCCCUGACUCUGGGAUAAGCGUUGGAAACGACGUCUAAUACUGGAUAUGAUCACUGGCCGCAUGGUCUGGUGGUGGAAAGAUUUUUUGGUUGGGGAUGGACUCGCGGCCUAUCAGCUUGUUGGUGAGGUAAUGGCUCACCAAGGCGACGACGGGUAGCCGGCCUGAGAGGGUGACCGGCCACACUGGGACUGAGACACGGCCCAGACUCCUACGGGAGGCAGCAGUGGGGAAUAUUGCACAAUGGGCGAAAGCCUGAUGCAGCAACGCCGCGUGAGGGAUGACGGCCUUCGGGUUGUAAACCUCUUUUAGUAGGGAAGAAGCGAAAGUGACGGUACCUGCAGAAAAAGCACCGGCUAACUACGUGCCAGCAGCCGCGGUAAUACGUAGGGUGCAAGCGUUGUCCGGAAUUAUUGGGCGUAAAGAGCUCGUAGGCGGUUUGUCGCGUCUGCUGUGAAAUCCCGAGGCUCAACCUCGGGCUUGCAGUGGGUACGGGCAGACUAGAGUGCGGUAGGGGAGAUUGGAAUUCCUGGUGUAGCGGUGGAAUGCGCAGAUAUCAGGAGGAACACCGAUGGCGAAGGCAGAUCUCUGGGCCGUAACUGACGCUGAGGAGCGAAAGCGUGGGGAGCGAACAGGAUUAGAUACCCUGGUAGUCCACGCCGUAAACGUUGGGCGCUAGAUGUAGGGACCUUUCCACGGUUUCUGUGUCGUAGCUAACGCAUUAAGCGCCCCGCCUGGGGGAGUACGGCCGCAAGGCUAAAACUCAAAGGAAUUGACGGGGGCCCGCACAAGCGGCGGAGCAUGCGGAUUAAUUCGAUGCAACGCGAAGAACCUUACCAAGGCUUGACAUACACCGGAAAACGGCCAGAGAUGGUCGCCCCCUUGUGGUCGGUGUACAGGUGGUGCAUGGUUGUCGUCAGCUCGUGUCGUGAAAUGUUGGUUAAGUCCCGCAACGAGCGCAACCCUCGUUCUAUGUUGCCAGCGCGUUUAUGCCGGGGAACUCAUAGAAGACUGCCGGGGUCACUCGGAGNAGUGGGGAAUGACGUCCAAAUCAUCAUGCCCCUAUGGUCUGGGCUUCACGCAUGCUACAUUGCNGNNAAAGGCUGCGANCGUAGGUGGAACGAGAUCCAAAAAAGGACGGNCUCU